rnacentral:misc_RNA from 1 species
GAUGAAGAACCGCAGCGAAAUGCGAUAAGUAAUGCGAAUUGCAGAAUUCAGUGAGUCAUCGAAUCUUUGAACGCACAUUGCGCCCUGUGGUAUUCCGCAGGGCAUGCCUGUUCGAGCGUCAUUUCAACCCUCAAGCCCCGCUUGGUGUUGGGCCCCGCCCGCUGUGGCCGGCCCUAAAGACAGUGGCGGCGCCGCCUGGCCCUCAGCGUAGUACAUCUCUCGCUCCAGGGUCCGGUGGCCGCCUGCCAGAACCCCCCAACUCUGUGGUUGACCUCGGAUCAGGUAGGGAUACCCGCUGAACUUAAGCAUAUCAAUAAGCGGAGGA